CGAGUUCGAUCCUGGCUCAGAUCGAACGCUGGCGGCGUGGCUAAAGCAUGCAAGUCGCACGCGAAAGUUCCCUUCGGGGAGCGAGUAGAGUGGCGAAAGGGCGAGGAAUCCAUGGGUAACGUACCUCGAGCAUGGGGAUAGCUGCGGGAAACUGCAGGUAAUACCUAAUGACACCACGGUUUCAUAUGGCACAGUGGUCAAAGGGCGGGGAUCCCUUCGGGGACCUGCUGGCUUGAGAGCGGCCCAUGUCCUAUCAGCUUGUUGGUAGGGUAACGGCCUACCAAGGCAACGACGGGUACCGGGACUGAGAGGUUGGCCCGGCGCAUUGGGACUGAGACACUGCCCAGACUCCUACGGGAGGCUGCAGCAACGAAUAUUCCGCAAUGGACGAAAGUCUGACGGAGCGACGCCGCGUGCGGGAAUAAGCCCCUCGGGGUGUAAACCGCUGUCAGGGAUCACCAAGCGAUGAGGGUCAAUACCCCCCGGAGUUGAGGAGUCCCAGAGGAAGCCACGGCUAACUUCGUGCCAGCAGCCGCGGUAAGACGAAGGUGGCAAGCGUUGUUCGGAAUCACUGGGCUUAAAGAGCACGUAGGCGGCUUAUCAAGCGUCUUGUGAAAUCCCUCGGCUCAACCGAGGAACUGCAUGGCGAACUGAUAGGCUUGAGGCAGGUAGGGGCGCACGGAACUCUUGGUGGAGCGGUGGAAUGCGUAGAUAUCAAGAGGAACGCCGGUGGCGAAGGCGGUGCGCUGGGCCCGUCCUGACGCUGAGGUGCGAAAGCCAGGGGAGCGAACGGGAUUAGAUACCCCGGUAGUCCUGGCCCUAAACGAUGUCCACUAGGUCGAAGGUUCUCUGACGGAGUUUCGGCCGAAACGAAAGCGUUAAGUGGACCGCCUGGGGAGUACGGUCGCAAGGCUAAAACUCAAAGGAAUUGACGGGGGCUCACACAAGCGGUGGAGCAUGUUGCUUAAUUCGAUACAACGCGAAGAACCUUAUCCUGGGCUUGACAUGUACGAAUGCCUACCUGGAAACAGGGUCGGCUGCCCUUCGGGGUGAAACGUACACAGGUGCUGCAUGGCUGUCGUCAGCUCGUGUCGUGAGAUGUUGGGUUAAGUCCCGUAACGAGCGAAACCCUUGUCGCUAGUUGCCAGCGGGUUAUGCCGGGGACUCUAGCGAGACUGCCGGUGUUAAACCGGAGGAAGGUGGGGAUGACGUCAAGUCCUCAUGGCCUUUAUGCCCAGGGCUGCAAACGUGCUACAAUGACCGGUACAAACCGAUGCAAGACCGCGAGGUGGAGCAAAUCGGAAAAAGCCGGCCCCAGUUCGGAUUGGAGUCUGCAACUCGACUCCAUGAAGUCGGAAUCGCUAGUAAUCGCGUAUCAGCAUGACGCGGUGAAUGUGUUCCUGAGCCUUGUACACACCGCCCGUCAAGUCAUGGAAGCUGGGAGCACCCGAAGUCGUGCCAUUUCAGGCAUGCCGAAGGUGAGCUUGGUGACUGGGACUAAGUCGGAACAAGGUA
rnacentral:rRNA from 1 species